GUACACUCCUACGGGAGGCAGCAGUGGGGAAUUUUGGACAAUGGGCGAAAGCCUGAUCCAGCCAUGCCGCGUGCAGGAUGAAGGCCUUCGGGUUGUAAACUGCUUUUGUACGGAACGAAACGGCCUUUUCUAAUAAAGAGGGCUAAUGACGGUACCGUAAGAAUAAGCACCGGCUAACUACGUGCCAGCAGCCGCGGUAAUACGUAGGGUGCAAGCGUUAAUCGGAAUUACUGGGCGUAAAGCGUGCGCAGGCGGUUAUGUGAGACAGUUGUGAAAUCCCCGGGCUCAACCUGGGAACUGCAUCUGUGACUGCAUAGCUAGAGUACGGUAGAGGGGGAUGGAAUUCCGCGUGUAGCAGUGAAAUGCGUAGAUAUGCGGAGGAACACCGAUGGCGAAGGCAAUCCCCUGGACCUGUACUGACGCUCAUGCACGAAAGCGUGGGGAGCAAACAGGAUUAGAAACCCGAGUAGUCCCAUGAU
rnacentral:rRNA from 1 species